rnacentral:rRNA from 1 species
GAUGAACGCUGGCGGCGUGCCUAAUACAUGCAAGUCGAGCGAACGGACGAGAAGCUUGCUUCUCUGAUGUUAGCGGCGGACGGGUGAGUAACACGUGGAUAACCUACCUAUAAGACUGGGAUAACUUCGGGAAACCGGAGCUAAUACCGGAUGAUAUUUUGAACCGCAUGGUUCAAAAGUGAAAGACGGUCUUGCUGUCACUUAUAGAUGGAUCCGCGCUGCAUUAGCUAGUUGGUAAGGUAACGGCUUACCAAGGCAACGAUGCAUAGCCGACCGGAGAGGUUGAUCGGCCACACUGGAACUGAGACACGGUCCAGACUCCUACGGGAGGCAGCAGUAGGGAAUCUUCCGCAAUGGGCGAAAGCCUGACGGAGCAACGCCGCGUGAGUGAUGAAGGUCUUCGGAUCGUAAAACUCCGUUAUUAGGGAAGAACAUAUGUGUAAGUAACUGUGCACAUCUUGACGGUACCUAAUCAGAAAGCCACGGCUAACUACGUG